GCAGUCGACGCUGAAGCCCGCAGCUUGCUGUGGGUGGAUGAGUGGCGAACGGGUGAGUAACACGUGAGUAACCUGCCCCCGACUUCGGGAUAAGCCCGGGAAACUGGGUCUAAUACCGGAUAUGACCACCGCUCGCAUGAUUGGUGGUGGAAAGUCUUUUCGGUUGGGGAUGGGCUCGCGGCCUAUCAGUUUGUUGGUGAGGUAAUGGCUCACCAAGACGACGACGGGUAGCCGGCCUGAGAGGGCGACCGGCCACACUGGGACUGAGACACGGCCCAGACUCCUACGGGAGGCAGCAGUGGGGAAUAUUGCACAAUGGGGGAAACCCUGAUGCAGCGACGCAGCGUGCGGGAUGACGGCCUUCGGGUUGUAAACCGCUUUCAGCAGGGAAGAAGCCUUGAUCGGUGACGGUACCUGCAGAAGAAGUACCGGCUAACUACGUGCCAGCAGCCGCGGUAAUACGUAGGGUACAAGCGUUGUCCGGAAUUAUUGGGCGUAAAGAGCUCGUANGUGGUUGGUCACGUCUGCUGUGGAAACGCAACGCUUAACGUUGCGCGUGCAGUGGGUACGGGCUGACUAGAGUGCAGUAGGGGAGUCUGGAAUUCCUGGUGUAGCGGUGAAAUG
rnacentral:rRNA from 1 species